rnacentral:lncRNA from 1 species
GUUUUGUUUUUCUGGUACAGGUUUCUUUCUGCUGCUGGAGAAUUUGUGACCUAGCUCACAUUCUUAGAAACAAAGCAAAAUGGUUUGCCUGAGAUCAAAAGGAACUGCCUCUGUCUGCACUGCAGCUGAAAACUGUUGGCCCAGGAUGACAUCUCUAUUGUCUUGCUCAUCUAUGGAACGAGGAAAAAAACAGAGCUCGAUUGUUCCUUUAGAAUUAUGAAAGCCCUUUUUUCAUUUUAAGUGAGGAAAGAAUGACUUACUAGAAUGAUGACUGUGUUGCUAGUUACCCAAGGCCAGAUUGUGGACUCCCACUGGAUCAUGAAGUCAGCAAGACAACUCAUGCAAACUAAUGCUCACCAGAGGAAGUAAUCUGGUUCAUAAUUACUGUUCAGCAGUGCUAGUGAAAAGCUUUUUGAGCAACAUUCUGACUAACUUUCAUCAUCAUGCAGACAAAGUAAUUUCAGGGGUAAAAAAAUUGGGCCAGAGUUUGGUAGAUCUAAAAAUAUCAUUUUUAGUAAACACUUUUGGAAAAGAAUUUGAAUUUAAAACAUUCACCAUCCUAUAACCAUUUGCUUGUACUGCAUCCAGCAACAGUAAGUAUAUUCAUGUGAACCAUUUUUGUAGUUUUAAUUUGGGUGGAUUCACAGGUUUAAUUUGGUGGAACAAACACAAAACAAAUCCAAAUGGAGCUGAAACAGUCACACUUUAUCUGAUUUGUAGCAAGAAGCUCAAAAGCAGAUGGAGCUGCUGAGUUUUGCAUGUUUUCCAUCAGGACCAUAAAACUGGCCUCUAGAAACAGGUGUAAAUCAUUUUUAGUACUGCCUUGCAUUAUUAGCUGAAAUGUUAAAUCAUGACACUGAAAUUAUAAGCAAUGACACUUACACUAAAAAAAUAUGUCCCAGGUCUGUCCUACUAAAAAGAAACCACCAUUUGGAUGUGGAAAGAUUAAGAUGGCUGUCCAAAUGGCAACUAGUCACUCAAAGAGCGGUUCAAAUAAAGAACAGAGAUCACAGAGCAACAAUUCCCAGUCUGCAUCUGUGACCAUUAUGGAACUGCAAAAGCCAAGGAGAAAUGUUUGUGCAGGAAACUGGACUUCUAAGUGUUUUUCAAAGGUAGCAAGAGCAAUCAACACCCUCUAUGGCUGCGUUUCAGCCUGAUGUAUCAAUUUCAAACUGUUCUGGUAUCUACUGAACUCCAAAUCUUUUGCUUAGUGCCUUUCUUGAAUAAAUAUUGCUCUUGAAAAAAGGUUGAGUUGUCU